rnacentral:tRNA from 1 species
GAGAAGAAUUAAGAAAAACAGAAACUGCUAAUAUCUGAACCUGAGGUUAAAUUCCACAGUCUACUCA